rnacentral:rRNA from 1 species
GAACGCUAGCUACAGGCUUAACACAUGCAAGUCGAGGGGCAGCAUGGUCUUAGCUUGCUAAGGCCGAUGGCGACCGGCGCACGAGUGAGUAACACGUAUCCAACCUGCCGUCUACUCUUGGACAGCCUUCUGAAAGGAAGAUUAAUACAAGAUGGCAUCAUGAGUCCGCAUGUUCACAUGAUUAAAGGUAUUCCGGUAGACGAUGGGGAUGCGUUCCAUUAGAUAGUAGGCGGGGUAACGGCCCACCUAGUCUUCGAUGGAUAGGGGUUCUGAGAGGAAGGUCCCCCACAUUGGAACUGAGACACGGUCCAAACUCCUACGGGAGGCAGCAGUGAGGAAUAUUGGUCAAUGGGCGAGAGCCUGAACCAGCCAAGUAGCGUGAAGGAUGACUGCCCUAUGGGUUGUAAACUUCUUUUAUAAAGGAAUAAAGUCGGGUAUGGAUACCCGUUUGCAUGUACUUUAUGAAUAAGGAUCGGCUAACUCCGUGCCAGCAGCCGCGGUAAUACGGAGGAUCCGAGCGUUAUCCGGAUUUAUUGGGUUUAAAGGGAGCGUAGAUGGAUGUUUAAGUCAGUUGUGAAAGUUUGCGGCUCAACCGUAAAAUUGCAGUUGAUACUGGAUAUCUUGAGUGCAGUUGAGGCAGGCGGAAUUCGUGGUGUAGCGGUGAAAUGCUUAGAUAUCACGAAGAACUCCGAUUGCGAAGGCAGCCUGCUAAGCUGCAACUGACAUUGAGGCUCGAAAGUGUGGGUAUCAAACAGGAUUAGAUACCCUGGUAGUCCACACGGUAAACGAUGAAUACUCGCUGUUUGCGAUAUACUGCAAGCGGCCAAGCGAAAGCGUUAAGUAUUCCACCUGGGGAGUACGCCGGCAACGGUGAAACUCAAAGGAAUUGACGGGGGCCCGCACAAGCGGAGGAACAUGUGGUUUAAUUCGAUGAUACGCGAGGAACCUUACCCGGGCUUAAAUUGCAGAUGAAUUACGGUGAAAGCCGUAAGCCGCAAGGCAUCUGUGAAGGUGCUGCAUGGUUGUCGUCAGCUCGUGCCGUGAGGUGUCGGCUUAAGUGCCAUAACGAGCGCAACCCUUGUUGUCAGUUACUAACAGGUUCCGCUGAGGACUCUGACAAGACUGCCAUCGUAAGAUGUGAGGAAGGUGGGGAUGACGUCAAAUCAGCACGGCCCUUACGUCCGGGGCUACACACGUGUUACAAUGGGGGGUACAGAGGGCCGCUACCACGCGAGUGGAUGCCAAUCCCCAAAACCUCUCUCAGUUCGGACUGGAGUCUGCAACCCGACUCCACGAAGCUGGAUUCGCUAGUAAUCGCGCAUCAGCCACGGCGCGGUGAAUACGUUCCCGGGCCUUGUACACACCGCCCGUCAAGCCAUGGGAGCCGGGGGUACCUGAAGUGCGUAACCGCGAGGAGCGCCCUAGGGUAAAACUGGUGACUGGGGCUAAGUC